AAAACACAACUAGAGGCUCUAAAGAGCCUGUGUCGCUCACCUUGGUCUAUGUGACUAUUAAACAAAGGAAGCAGAUGGAUUCAUGACAAAAUUGUAUUUUGGUGAUGGUGAUGUGUUUGUACAUCUUACUUUACUGAACAUCCUUGCUGCUUACAAUUAUCUCUAUCUAUAAUGAACUUGGCCCAGUAGUUUCAGUGGAAAAUGUUAGUAAAAAUUUACAAAUUUUAUAAAAAUUGUUGAAAAUUGACUAUAAAGGACAAUAACUCCUUAGGGGGUCAAUUGACCAUUUCGGUCAUGUUGACUUAUUUGUAAAUCUUACUUUGCUGAACAUUAUUGCUGUUUACAGUUUAUCUCUAUCUAUAAUAAUAUUCAAGAUAAUAACCAAAAUCUGCAAAAUUUCCUUAAAAUUACUAAUUUGGGGGCAGCAACCCAACAACAGGUUGUCUGAUUUGUCUGAAAAUUUCAGGGCAGAUAGAUC
rnacentral:lncRNA from 1 species